rnacentral:lncRNA from 1 species
AUCUGGUAACUAUUGUGACAGAGGGUCUACACUCUGGGCAGAGUGACAGGCUGAAGAGUUGAUGGAUCUGCUCACCUCCAUGGGGGAGGGGUCCCAGGAGGUCUGGAAUGUUGAGAAACCAGAAGAUUCUGGCUGGGAUUUCAGUUGAGAUCUCUCAACCUUGAGAAGCCUAGGAGGAGAGGUCUGGCCAAGCCUUUCUCCUGGGAUAUACCCAUCUCUUUCCUUUUCUGGCAACUGGACAUUCUCCCCACCCCCCCUCCAAUUCCCAAAUGAAGGAACAUCUGAAGAAGACAUUUAAGCAUCUGUAAAAACUUUACCUCACAGCUCCUGGUGCCCUGGUGGCCAGGGGCCAAAGACCAGGAAAUUGAACAACAGUGGACACAGUUGUUUUCCUUGGAUCUUCCAAUGAGGGGCAGGUUUCUCCAAUCCGAGUCUAUCUUCAUGGAUGUCAGUGAACCAUGAAUCACAAGAUAAUAUGCUAGUUGAUUUUGCUGAACCAUCGUUUGCUUGUUUGUGAGACAUCAGGAGACAGUUCUAGUCACUGGGGAGAGUCCAUACUCAAGGAGGAUCUCAUACGGUGGGAAUAGAAGUUUGGGAGAAAUCCCUAUAUACCUGCUGGAGAUAAGAAGGUUCUUUGGACCAAGCCGCUGGCAGUCUGCUGCCAAAGCUGUGAUUAAAGCACCCUGAC